GUCCAUCUCGCGCUGCCUGUGGUGCUCGCAGUGUUCGUGGUGG
rnacentral:ribozyme from 14 species